rfam:Felis catus isolate Cinnamon breed Abyssinian chromosome D2, whole genome shotgun sequence.
GCCUGGGUGGCUCAGUCAGUGGAGCGUCUGACUUCGGCUCAGGUCACGAUCUCACGGUUCGUGAGCUCGAGCCCCGCGUCAGGCU